rnacentral:rRNA from 1 species
AUUGAACGCUAGCGGGAUGCUUUACACAUGCAAGUCGAACGGCAGCGCGGACUUCGGUCUGGCGGCGCGUGGCGAACGGGUGAGUAAUGUAUCGGAACGUGCCCAGUAGCGGGGGAUCACUACGCGAAAGCGUAGCUAAUACCGCAUACGCCCUACGGGGGAAAGCAGGGGAUCGUAAGACCUUGCACUAUUGGAGCGGUCGAUAUCGGCUUAGCUAGUUGGUGAGGUAACGGCUCACCAAGCCGACGAUCCGUAGCCGGUUUGAGAGGACGACCAGCCACACUGGGACUGAGACACGGCCCAGACUCCUACGGGAGGCAGCAGUGGGGAAUUUUGGACAAUGGGGGCAACCCUGAUCCAGCCAUCCCGCGUGUGCUAUGAAGGCCUUCGGGUUGUAAAGCACUUUUGGCAGGAAAGAAACGUCGCGGGCUAAUACCCCGUGGAACUGACGGUACCUGCAGAAUAAGCACCGGCUAACUACGUG